rnacentral:lncRNA from 1 species
AUUUGGGGAUAUAUGUACAAAAUAGUAGGACGAUCAUUUUUGUUUGUUUACUCUCCAUUGGAUUUCUGAUUGUAUCUUUUGGCAUGGCCUAUAUUGGCACCUAUUCUGAGUCACAUUUGCUAGUUAUCAAUGAUCACUUCUAGGCUGUUAUUUUAUUUCAUAAUCUAUCUAUAGUUGCAACAUAUUGGAAAAACUAGCCGGGUCAAAACCUUUUUCAUUCCUCUGUCCAGAACAGCCUAUAUUAGCACCUAUUCCGAGUCUCAUUUGCUAGUUAUCAAUGACCACUUCUAGGCUGUCAUUUUAUUUGAUAUUCUAUCUAGUCACUACAUAUUGGAAAAACUGGCAGUGUCAAAACCUUUUUCAUUCCUCUGUCCAGAAUGGCACUCUUGGUAGUCUGGAAAGAAAAUUUUCAGGAGAAAUAAGUUUGAGCAAUGAACCGCCUGAAGAUAAGACGACGCAUACAUUGUUGAGUAACAAGGGUGAACAAAUUGCCAAUUCAUCAUCAAAUUCAGAUGUUUCCAGCAAGAAAACUGGCAUGGUAGAUUUUCUACAUCAAACUUCCAUCCUUCCAGAGGCCCAUGAAGCCCUGGAUGAACCUGAAAUGAUCAAGCUCAAUGCCAAAGCAUCAGGACUCAAACUUGGUGGAGAUUUGCGUGAGACUGAUGCAACAUCAAUUCUGGAAAAGAUUUUUGGCAAUGCAUCAACAGUGAAUGGCAAUGACUCUACAGAUUCUGUCGAGGUAAUUUGUCUUGCUCACGUACUUCUGGUCAUGCCCCUGCUUUGUGCAUAUCCUGGAUUGUGGGUUUUGUUAACAAAAAACAAGGCACCGUUCUUGUUUUUCUUGCAUUGCAUGUUUGUCGAAGUUUACAAAUGCUUGUGUCUAGGGAGUGUAUGCCUCAUUGUCAAGCUGAACUGGAAAGAUAUCAUAUUGAUGAUUUCCUUCUUUUUUCCCCCUCU